rnacentral:lncRNA from 1 species
AAAUUGGCUAGUCUGUAAAUCAUUAUUAUUUCCCUGGCAUUCAGGUAACAUUUUUUUUAUACAAUUAUUUUAUACUUAGUUGUUAAGGUUAAUUGGGGUGACUUUUUCUGGAAGAACCUAUUAUUAUUUACCUUUAGUUAUAUAUGUACCUGAGAUGUUUAUACUAAUGUCAUUAAAUGUAUUUAUUGACCUUUAAAGAAUUUUAUUUGUUUAUAAACAAUAUAUAUUAAUAGUCAUAAAACAAUAUUUUGUGCACACCCUGAGGUUAAAUGUUGUCUAACAUACUAAAUAGGAUAUUUACUGUAUGUUUUAACACACAAUAAAAAUUCCUUUUCUUUGUGACAGUAAACGGUUUCUGCAGUCAGUCAAGUUUACUUCAAACUGCUGAUCUAUUUAGAUUUUAAAGAAGAUUUUUAUACAGAUGUAUAUAUAUUAACAAAAUUGAAAACUGUUAAAAUUUGAAUUGCAUAAGAAUUAUUAUAAUUUUGAAGCUAAAUUCCAGACUUUAUAAAGCAAAUUUAUUUCAAAAGCUACCAGAUUUUUAUCAUACUUAGUCUAAAGAUUAGUGAAACAGUACUAAUAUAAAAUGGUAUAUCUAUGAAGAUGAUGUUAUAAAAUAGUGUUGACAAAUAUUUGGGCUGAACUAGCCUUUGUCAGUGUCAAUAAUUUUAACAGUAUUUUAUAACAUCAUCUUUGUAUAUUACUAUCUUAUGUAAGUUCCCUAUAUUCACUAUAUCUUCCACCACUCUAGAUCUAUUUUAAAGAAUUGACAACUGACAAGAAAAAAUUUGUCAUUACAAAAUUUUAGAUCAUUUCUUUUUAUAGUCAACCCUGAUUGAAUUUUAGCAUUCAAUGUGGCUCAAAAUUUACAUCAAUUGAAAUAUAUUCUACACAAUAAUGGUAGAAGCGAUUUUUAUAGAAAAAAAAAGCUAUAUACCAGUAUGUGAAAAACUAUGGAAAUAGUCAUAUUAUAGUAAUUGUCUUGCUGAUUAAUGAUAGAUCUGUGAGUGGUUGUUCUUUAAAAGAACUAUAUUACAUAGUGUUCCGUGUAACAGCUAUAUGUAUGAAUGAAUUUAUCCAAUAGAAUUGGUCAACUGUUGAAUCAUAAGAAGGUGUUUAUACUAUCUUAUCACGAUCAAAAUCUACCGAUUUUCUAUUAAACUGAAAGUUAAUAGUUGUAAUUAGAUCUUUUAUGGCGAUUAGCUUCUUGAUUAACUGCGUGUUAAGGUUUGUUAUGCUGGUUUUACCAGACAAUUGAUUUCGUAGAUAUUGUCAUUAAUAUCAUUAUUAUAUGAAAUAAUGUCUACAGACCUGCUAGGCAUUAACAUAUAUAUAGGGUUUACAUUGUCUUAUCGGGGCCUUUUAUAGCUGACUAUGCGGUAUGGGCUUUGCUCAUUGUUGAAGGCUGUACAGUGACCUAUAGUUGUUAAUGUCUGUGUCAUUUUGGUCUUUUGUGGAUAGUUGUCUCAUUGGCAAUAAUACCACAUCUUCUUUUUUAUAUUUAAGUUUUAUUAAAUUUACUGUAUGUAUGUAAUUAUGUCUUUGGACCUGCUAGGCAUAACAUAAGGUUAGGUUAGAUUUAGCAUAUUGUUAAAACAGCAAUUUGAUAUUUUUGUUGUUACCAUAAUCUAUAAGAUAAAAUAAUAUACUGUUACAUAGAUUCAGUGAGCAUCUUCUUAAAACUCAUUGAUCAGAUAAAUUAAGAAAUUAUUAAGAAGCUUUUAGGUUCCAACUCCACCAGGCAUAUUUCAGCCUUGUUUAAUGUCUGUGGAACUGUGCUCACCUCAAAUGAGGAAGGUCAUGGGUUUAAAUCACUGGCUGGGUCAUUCCAAAGGAUUAAAAAUUGGUAUUUGCUGCAUCUCUGCUGAACACAAGACAUUUAAGAGCCGUAACUUUGCCUUGAGUCAGAAUAAUUUGUCUGAGUAGGGUGACAUGUAUUUUUGCACUCUGUUACCUUGUGAACUAAGGUAUUUAAAAUUUGGCUCAGCCAGUGGAGUUAGUAAAAAGCAGGGGUCAUAUUAAUAUCAUAUAUAUAUCAAUAUGUUCUAAUUGUCUAAUAGACUGGACAUUAAACAACUGUCCAUUCAUCCAUCCAUCCAUCAGGCAUAGUUUAAACAUGAGAUUAAUUUGGCUAUUGUGUUAAAGUGUUUUUUUGGAACAACAAAUCUCAUCUGUAAGCAAAUUGAAAGUGAUCCCAUAAUAUGUAGCACAGCAGAAAUCUUAUAGCUAUUACAUAUAUUGUCUUUCAUGCUUUAUGUCUGUGUGAUUGAAGUAUACAACUUCAGUGUAGUCAUUGGUAAUGAUAUCAACAAAUAAAUAUAAAGCAGGCAAAAAAUAUUAACAUAAAGAGUCAUAAAUUGCCAGACAUGCCUUUACAUCCUAAAAUACAGAUCAAUGCAAAUUUAAACAACCACUGUCGGCCCAUCAAGAUAUGUGUCAGAUAAAGGAAAAUGGGGCAAAAAAUAAAGAUAUAAGAUCUGCUUUAGUAAUUCAGAACAGUUGCUUAUAUUAUGUAUAGAAAUUUGCAAUGUGAAACUUUUCUCGUCAUUUUGCUGGCCCAAAUUGGUAUUAUUUAACAUUAAUUCGAGCCUAUUCCAUAAUAAUUGAUAGGCUACUGAUCUUUCAGGACAACUGGUCCAAAUAAUUAGACUUCUGGCUAACCUACAUUUCAAUCACUUAGUUAUUCAGACUGUUGUGAGCCUCUGGUUCUUUUUCUGCGACUUAAGUUUAUAAUGUACAUAUCUAACCUAGCUAUUAUUCAUAAUACACUGUGAACACGCAUAUACAAUAUAUUUUCUAAUAUAUAUUUUAUUAUAAUUAAUUCACCUGCAUUCUGACUUGAUGUGAACAUGAAGAAAUAUAAUUUAUUAUUCAGUUUUACCGGUCUAUUACUGAACCACAAGUAGUGUUCCAUAUUUUGUUGUCAAACUGUCCUGCAAUAUACAGGCUAUAACAAAAAUAUACUUGUUUCCUUCUUUAGUUUUAAAAUAGUAUGUAUUUUUUUAUAAAUUAUUCUCCACUCAUAGUUGGUGCUUAACCAUAAAUGUCAAUAAAAUGUGUUUGUGAAGGCAUAUGAGAAUACAUAUUACUUUAAGCCUUUAAACUUGCAGUGAGGUACAAGUUUUUGCUCAUUUUGAAGGCCUAAUUGUGAUUUUAUUUUAAAGAACAGCAUUAAAGAAUGAUAUAUCAUGUGGUUUUGAGUUUAUUGUCGAUCUAUUUAAAGAUUUAGUUUCUGGAGGUUAUACACCAUUAUCCUACCUUUUCCAUCACUGGACUGCAGGGUUUUUUUUUUACAUUUUGAUGGGAUACAAUUAAUUAUUAUCAGUGGCUACAAGUAAUGUAAAAAUUGACUACCUAAUUAGAGGGGCCCGCUCCAGUCAUGCUUCAGUGUUUCCCUAUAUAAUCAACCACACAAAAGGGGGACCCCUGUAUACAUCAUGAUUGUAAAGAAAUCACAUUUAGGUACAUCUGUAGUGCAAUGAAAGUCUGAACUAAAAAUGUGUUGAAAAAACGAAUCAUUAGAACUAAGUCAAAUAUCAUAUUAGCUUCAUAUUAUGACAAUUUUUACAAAAAUAAAAAAAAAAUCCAAAAGUAGAAUUGAUUAUAAAUACAAAUUUCAGAAGUGCAGGUCCUUAUACAAAUGAUUAGAUAACAUUAUGGUAGGAUAUAGUGUUGGCAAUGACUAAAAGCUUAAAUAGCCUCUUAAUUCAGUAGUAUAGAUAAAUUAUCUGUAGCUUUUGAAUAUAACAUUGAAAUGAAGAUAAUUUGUAUUCAUAUAUUCGAUCAGAACAGUGUCUGUAAGGUCAUAUAGGUUAGAUAGAAGUAUGCUAUCAUCAUUAAAACUUAUCAACUUAUUCUACUAAUGUUGGGUUGUGUAAUAUAACAAGUAGUAUGGUAAUAAAGAUGUUACAUAUUGUUUAUGUUAAAGAAGUGUUUAAAAAACAGGUCAGAACAUCUUGAUCACUGGACUUCUGGUGAUUAACAUGUUCGUUUGAUUGGAAUAUCAGUGUCAGUAUGCUAAUUUAUAAUGGAAUCUGAGGGUCUAAGUUAGGCUGCUGCAAGAAAUCCAAUAGUGCUUAAAGUGGCUUAAACAUCAACAUUCAAUCAAUCAAUCUGAAUUUGAUUGUUACUAUUUAUAAUAAGGUUGCUGUUUCAAUUAUGUCUACCAUACACAAAAUGAUGGACAUUAGUGUUGGGGAACGGGAGGGGAGGGGAGGGGAGUCAAUUUCUUAGUGUUUAAUAUUUAAUACCUGAGUAUUUUUGGUCCUUUUCUCUAUUAUGUGAGCCUCAUUAAGACCCUCCUUCAUCUGUCUUUUAAUUCAUACAUGUCAGACUUAACCUUGUUAAACCUAAUGUUUGGUAAAAUUCAAAAUGCCCUUUUUUAAAGGUAUUUUGGCCUUUUCAAAUAGGACCAAAUUAUUCUGGACGAUAUAGGAGACAAAAUAAUUGCAUACUGUAAAAAGGUUUAAUCAAAGCUUGUUGAGUGAUAGGUAUUGUGAUUACCUGUAAUAAUUGUUAUUUAAAUCUCAUUCACAGGUGUAAAAUCUUGUGAAAAAAGUAGGUGAACUAACCAGAUAUGUCUUUUAACUUUCUUAGGGUGAUGAUAUUAUAAUUUUUGCCGUUUUGAAUUAUGAAAUAAAAUCCGUGGGGCAAUUAAUUUAGAGCUUGUAAUUUUUUUUUGCAGUCUGAUUGACAUGUAUGCGAAAAAAUCUGUCUGUUCAUUUCUUGAAUUGUAUCUUUUAGUAAGCACUAGUUAAGCAUGUUGAAGAUUAACAUUUUUGAUAAGCUGAGUGGUCAAACAAUUUGACAACCUUAAAAUUGAUAUUUUCAUCUGUCAUUCUACUAAUAUAAUAGACAUAGGAAGAUGUGGUAUGAGUGCCAUUGAGACAACUCUACAUCCAAGUCACAAUUUAUAAAAGUAAACCAUUAUAGGUCAAAGUAUGGUCUUCAACACAGAGCCUUCAAGUUGGCUCACGCCGAACAGCAAACUAUAAAGGGUCCCAAAAUAAGUCUUCUUCAAUUAUCUAUUUCUUAUAAUUGCUUAGGGUCUAAUCAGUUAGCGGCUAUUUCAGGCAACAUGUUUGCAAUUUUAUUUCAUUUGUUCUCCUGCUUUAAGUUUUGUGCAAAUUGAUUAUAAAGCAUGAAGCUAUUUUAAUUUUUGUUUAUUUUUAAGUGGCCGUUUUGUUUUUUAUUUGAGUCCUCAUUGAAGACAAUCUGACAAUGGAUGUGAUUUGCAUUUAUUCUCUGUACUAAUGAAUUCUUCAAAAUUUCCUCCAUUAUUAAAUAGUCAAUUUUAUACAUGAAUUCAUAAUAGGGUAAACAUUCUUUGUUUUUUUUUACAUAUUUGUUUUUCGUUCAUUUUUUUUUACAUAAUUAAGGCCGUUCAUUUUUCGUUUGAAUUGUUUUACAUUGUCUUAUCGGGGCCUUUUAUAGCUGACUAUGCGGUAUGGACUUUGCUCAUUGUUGAAGGCUGUACAGUGACCUAUAGUUGUUAAUGUCUGUCAUUUUGGUCUUUUGUGGAUAGUUGUCUCAUUGGCAAUCAUAUCACAUCUUCUUUUUUAUAUUUACCAACUUGUUACUUCUUGAUUUCAGCUGAAGAUCUUUAAUCUGUUUACAUAUGAUAUGAUAAAUGAAUUUAAUAAAUUAGAUACAUACAAGUUUCUACUCAUCUUACUGAUGUUUAGGUAAAUUAUUUCACAGCAGUUACUUAUAAUUUGCGUACACACAGUUUAAAUAGCACAACAAAAUUAUUUACCUGAAUUUGAUUGUUAUUUUUUAUGGCAUCAUAAUAUUAUAGGAUUAUUGCAUGAAUAUUGUCAACUAUUGUCCCGAGUAGAAUUUUAUAUUGCACGAGCUUGCGAGUGCAAUAUAUGUUCUACAAGGGACAAUAUUCCCCAAUAUUCAUGCAAUAACCCUUUUAUUGUAUAGCAAUAUAAUAUUUGAAAGUAAAAAUUGUGUUAACUGAUGACGUCAUUUAUUUUAAAGAUUUUAUAAUUGCACUAGUGCAAUACUGGAAUCUAUUGCAAGCUAACUUUUGGUUACUUUCUGUUGGAAAUAUUAUAUUGCUAUGCAAUAAAAUGUUAUACUGUUGUAUAUUGACCAAAAAAUAAUUUCACUUGACAAACAAUAAGUUUAAUUAUGCUAAUUUCCAUAAAUUGAAUCCAACAUUUAAUUUCAAUAGACAUUAUCACAAUAUGGAAAUCUGUACUGUUGACCAGAGAAUCUUUGCCUCUUGAAGUAUUGAUGCCACCCUACAACAAUCACUUUUCCAUGUGGUGUCAGAAAUUUUUUGUAUAAUGAUGUUUAUAUAUUUUUAGGGAUCCUGUGUGAUAAGUCCAGUUAUGAAUUAUAUUACAGACAAAUAUCAAUAAGGUAUAUGUCAAUGGUCCACAAAAAAUAUCAAUGUUACAUUUGUGCUCUUACUGUUUGUGAAAUAUUUGCUGCUGAACAUCUUGCAAGCAACAAUCAUUUUUAACCUUCUGAUCAUUAGGAGCAUUUUACUGAUGAUUUGUUAGCUAUAUAUAUAUAAAACGUCUGAAUAGUAGUCAACAAUUUUCCCCACGAGAGCGCUGGAUCGUUACGAGUAACGAUACAUGUACAUAAUAAAUAAAUUAUAUAAACGCCUAAAAAUGUGUACACAACAACUCCAAAUACAAAAAAAGGUAACUAUAAAUGUAAUUAUUUAUAAAUAUUUCGGAUAACUGAUAUCCUUCCUCAGUGAGAUUCUGAUGUUAAAUGAUCAUCUUUAAGUCUUCUUAGAUUAAACUGAAUUACAAUCUUGAAAUUUAUACAGUAAAAAAGUCAAACCGAACAUCAGUUCAGACACUUGCACCAUUCUAAAAAUUUAUUAAACAUGACAUAGGUAAUAUAUGGCUUAUUACAACAGAGAGUUAAAUAUAUGCUUUAAAUACAAAUAAUAAUGUGCGAUAUGAACUAGCACAAUUCUAACACUUUAACUGUAAAGACAAUUAUGAUGGUACAAGAAUGAUUACUUCAAUAAAAUUACCAAAUAGACAUGCAGCACUGAAGGAUUUAAAUUUAUGAAUAUUUUUAAAUUGACAGAUUAAAGUAGCUGCAACAGACUCUGAUUAUAUAUAUAUAGCUAAGAAUUUAUCAUACUUUCAUAGGAGGGAUAAAAUAUACAUGUAUCUUCAGUAAAAAUUGUGAUUUGGGCAUUUUCAAAUUGUGGUAGUUUUCAAAGGAUAUCACAACUAUGUGUAUUUUUAGACAGUCAUUUAUCUUAAACUUGUCUCUGCCAAGCUCUGUUAAUCUAUACUUAAUAUUGUGACAAAAUCUUUUACCUAUAUAUUUAUCAAAGUAAACAUAAUUAGACUUUCGUCAAGUAUAAGUAUGAACAGAAGAUAAUAGGAGUCUUAUACACAUCCAAAAACAAAACAAAUAGAUGUUUAAGGUAGAUUAAGUAAAUGUUCCCCUAAUGAAAAGGAAAAAUCUGAAGAUGGAUAUUUUGUUUGAAAAUAUCAUUAAUUUACUGCUCUGAAUUCUUAAAGAAUAAAUUUAGGUAUGAUAAGGUCAUUGUUUUGUCCCUCCUUUUUCCUAUCCCACCCCCCUUUUCUCCCAUCCUCAUUAUUUACUUGUUCUUUAAACCUUAAACACACUUCUAACUAAGAUAUUAAAGUGACAUAAUUUAAGACCUGGUUGUGUUAUUAUUUAUUUUACUUAACUAUGAAUAUAAAUCAUAUCUGAUUGAAAUGAAGAUCGGUUUAAAUGAUCUUUGCCAACAUAGGAGUUACUCAUCCAUUAAUACUUUUAACUUGUGCACUGAAUAAAAGAAUUUAUAUGCUUUUGUAAACUUUAAGGUAAUAACAUAAAAUAUAUUAACAUAUCUGGAAUGCAGAUUUUGUUAUGUCAUUAUGAUCAUGAUGAUUAUUUAAUUUCCAUAUACAUGAUAUAUAGUUAAAUGGGAAUCAUUGUUUAAACAGAAUAGCAUUAGUAUGGAUCUAGAAAAAACUAUGUAUCCAUAUUUUCCUUUCAUUUUCCCAGAAAUUUGGAAACAGAAAUUUGUAAAACAAGAGAAAAAUUAUGUGUACUGUUGCACAUCAGUGGUACAGCCUUGCAUUAGUGUAAAUAACACAAAUCAUCCAAAGGAUGUAGAACAAAAUGAGGUCUUCAAGUUUUAAUUUCCUUAAUCUAAAUAACUAUGAUGAGUUUAUUUACAACCACUGGGUCGAUGCCACUGCUGCUGGAGUUUAUUUACAACCACUGGGUCAAUGCCACUGCUGCUGGAGUUUAUUUACAACCACUGGGUCAAUACUGACUGCUGGUGGAGUUUAUUUACAACAACUGGGUCGAUACCACUGCUGCUGGAGUUUAUUUACAACCACUGGGUCGAUGCCACUGCUGGUGGAGUUUAUUUACAACAACUGGGUCGAUACCACAGCUGAUGGAGUUUAUUUACAACCACUGGGUCGAUGCCACUGCUGCUGGAGUUUAUUUACAACCACUGGGUUGAUGCCACUGCUGGUGGAGUUUAUUUACAAUCACUGGGUCGAUGCCACUGCUGCUGGAGUUUAUUUACAACCACUGGGUCGAUGCCACUGCUGCUGGAGUUUAUUUACAACCCCUGGUUCGAUGCCACUGCUGCUGGAGUUUAUUUACAACCACUGGGUCGAUGCCACAGUGACAGCUGGUGGAGUUUCAUUUCUUACUCUAUUAAAAUUUUGUGUGUACUAGCCGUCGGACCAGAAAUAAAGUUAUAGGCCUUAAUUUAGCUUGAAUUUUUAUCUGGAAAAUAUAUGUUCAAGUGUUCCAAUUUAGAAGUACUCGUUAAAUACUUUUGUUGAUAUCAUAUCAGAUAUUGACCUGCAACAUUUUGUAUAAACUGGCUUUGCAAUGGAAUUAUUAACUUCAGGAUGUUUGUUACUUUGUUUCAAAAUAAUAAGUUUGGUGUAUUAGCUAUGUAUAAAGGCUCAGUGUUGAGGGGAGUAAACUGCAAUAUGGUAAUGAAAAAUAACCAAUUUACAAAACAUCUGGGGUCGAUUCAUAAAACUUUGCUCAGUGCUUGGAGAACGAAACUCAUGCUCGAAACAUGAAAUCCAACAUUUUGAUUGGUUGAUUUUUCGAGCAUGAGUACACAAAACCUACUCGAAAGUUUAAUGACUGUUAGGCCUGGUCUCAUGAAUCAGACUGACUCUUUAGCUGCACACCUCAUUUUCCUGACUCAUUAACAUGCAAUUUUAACUUGCAUAUAAAUAAUUGCCAUAAAAAAAAUCGAUUUUUGGUGAUAGAAAAAUAAAUUCAUAUUUUAAGCCUAACAAGUGCGCUACUAAAAUAACAUUCAGCUUAAUUGUAAUUUUUAGUAGACUUCACUCAUGCAUAUAGAUCAAUUCAGAUAAUAUUGAAUAAACUUUUGAAAUAGUUAUGAUGUAUCUAUACAGUUGACCAACUUUUAUUGAUACUGAUCGAGUAUAUUGGAUUGGCAUGAUAUAAUAACUUAAGUACAUUUUUUAUAAGUCCUGCAUGUCACUGUGAACGUUAAAGUUCAUCUGAAUUAACUGUGUACUUUUAUUGCAAAUUAAACUAUUUAAAAAAAAAUCUACAAUGAAGAUAGGAUGAAUUUUAUUUGUAAUUCGCAAUCCUUUUUUAUUGAUUGAUAUUUUAUGGUGGUCAAAAAAGGUAAUUUUUGACUGGCAAUUGAAUAUAAGGAUUUAAAUCUCGAAUUAAAGCUGAAUUUUCUGUUUUCUUUAUUGUGAAUGAAUAAAAAGAUUAUCAGAGAUCAACCCAAAAUUUACGUGUUACAAUAUUAGUUAUUUGUUUCUUAAUUAUGUCUCUUCCAUGAAAAUUGAAAAUGCAUCAAAAUUUUGAAUUGUGUACAUUUGUCAUCAAAAUGUACCAAUUCUAUCAUUCUUUUAGUUAAAGGUCCCAGUUGAAGUGUGGUAUGAUUGCAAGGAAGACAGCUCUCCACCAGAAACCAAAUCAUGACAUAGGAGUUAGCAUUUCCGAAUAGACCACUUUCGAGUUCAUCUGUCACCCGAAAAAACUCGUCAAUUAUACGCGCCUUUAUGACGUCAUUUACCAGAUAGAGGGGGUCGCUUGUAUCCCUGCACUAUUUACGUUCAUCAAGCGUCUUAGUGAUUGUCAUUGUGCAGGAUAAACUAGAAAUAAGGGUUGUUCUGUAGGUACUUAAUGACAAUUCCCUAAUGUCAGCAGUGCUGAUUUUCAAUUUUGAGAAUUCAAUUUGCCGAAUAAUUUGUACAUUAAAGAAUUAUAGUUUUCCAACCUAACUCGCUCAACAUUGGAUGGAUGUGACGACGCCCCUAAACGCACAAAUGACGUUCACUAAAACCAGAGUUUUUGACGGAAAUGCAUCGAACUCGAAAGUUGUCUAUUGCUUUUAGUGUUCUUUGCUGUGCAUGUUCUGGUUUUGUGUCAUGGUUGGAAUACCUCAUAUCCUUUCAUUUCUAUCAGAAACCAUAGUUAAGAACAGCCUUCAACAAUGAGCUAAACUUAUACCACAAUGGCAGCUAUAAAAAGCACCAAAAUGACAAAUAUGAAACAGUUCAAACUGAAAACCAUUAUGACCUGAUUGAUAUUCAAAAGACAAAUGUUAUAUGCAGCAACUUACAUCAUGAACAACAUCUUCUGAACUCCCGCUCCUGACUUGGGACAAUCACGAGGACUCGGACUUCAUUAAAAGGGCACUUUGUACUUUGUAUUUACAGAAGACAGUUAUGUAAUAUUCUAUGUUUAGUCAUGUACACCCGUUACCUUUAAGGGACGAAAUCAAAAGAUCGAUGUAGAUUAAAAAAAUUAAAUCAAAUAGUUUGGGGGUGGGGGGUCAACAUUGGUGCAAGUUUUUUUAAUCUAAAAUCGAUUUUAUACAUAUCCCUAUUGGUCAAUUAUUUUUCCCAAAUUAAGUUAAGAGGGGGGUGUGGGGGUCAGUGAAAAAACUUUGUGAAUUAAGUUUUUAUCCUUCAUUGAACUUUUGAUGUUUACCCUUAACCUCCAUGGAUAAUUGUCUCAAUGCAAACUAUACUGUGUCAUUCAAUUUAGGAUAAAACUGUAACUUCAUAUUGAAAUUUAAUUUCAUUCAAUUUAUAAAGCAAGUUUUAGAAUGUACGUAUCAGCAGAAUGAUUAUAUACCAAUAUCAAAUCACAUAUCCUGAAAGAGAUACUUUCUGGAUUAAAUGUUUUAUUGUUAUGAAUAUUCAAUAGAAUAAAAAAAAACAUAAAUUGAGGGUGUUGAUGUCAUUUUUCUAAAGGAGUAUAGAGCUACAAUUAUUGCAGUUAUGUUAUGAAACAUCAGUUGAUUUCACCUCUCAUUUGAUGAAGUUUAAAGUUUAAAAUUUAAAAGAAAACUGAUAUUUAGGUAAUACAGUUGUUAUACAUCAUGUAAAUUGUUAGGUAUAGAUCCUCAUGAAUUUAACUUUUUAUUUAAAUAUUCACAUGAAAUGAACAAUACCUGCAGACUCUAGGCAACAGCUUGUAUUGUCUCCAGACAAGUUAUACCUGUUUUACCUGUACCAAUGUAAAUGAUAUUACACAUUUUCUAGAGAGACAAUAAUAAAUAUAUUUAAGGUGGUACCCAACACUUUAACUAAAAUUAAUUUGGCUCGUUUAAUUUUCUUAAAAUUUUGAUAACGUAUUUACUUUGACCCUUUAACAAAAAUAUAAAAAAUUCAAAAAAUUUGAACCAAGCGUUUUAUCAGAAAAAUUACACUGGUUAUAUAGCAGUUUGACAAACACUAAUUUUGAUCAUUGAGAAGCUUUAUAUUGCCUUCACAACGCAACGUAAUUUAAACGUUUAGCUGAUAUUACAGAGUUAUCUCCCUGUAGUGUUAGGUACCACCUUAAAACAUUUUGUUCUUUCAGUCUUCACAGUUACUUUAUUAUACUGUAGAGGGCCCUCAUGGGGUUUUUGAUUAUGUGAUUACUUGGCCGUUUUUUUAAUGAUUAUUUGAUUAUUAAGCCAAAUAUUUCAUGAUUAUUUGAUUACCUUAAGGACUGUAUUUUUAGUUUAUGAUUAUUUGAUUACUAAAGAUAAGCAAAUAUUUAAUGAUUAUGUGAUUAUAUUGGCAAAAAAAUGGUGAUUAUGUGAUUACUAGGACCCCCCCCAUGAGGGGCCUCAAUACUGUAGAUAAUAUACGUCCCCAGAAGAGGGACCAUUUAAACUAAGAGAAGGGCCUAUGGUUCAGUUUGAAAAUGCAACACCUUGAGGGAAAAAAAUCAAAAACAAGCAAGCUUAUACUGCAGUCAUUGACAGAGGCACAACUAACUGAAACAUAUCCCUGAAUUUUAAAAUUGAGUCAUUUGAACAGCCAUAUAGAAUUUGUUUUCAUGUUAUCUACAACUGACAAAAGGUCAAGGUUACAACUAAUAUGCGCUUUAUAUUUUAAGAUGGUUAACAAUAAAUGGCCUUUUCACACACAACUGAUUUUAAACACGGACAAAAUUAGAGAUAGCCAUUAAUUAUUUUAAGUAUAACUCAAACCUGAUCCUUUGUUAAUUUACUAAACAGUUUCCCAAAAAAAAAUAUAUAUGAAUUUCAUAAUGAAUGAAAAAAUAAUAAAAAAAACUUAUGAAAAAAAUUAAACACCCUCCCCCUUUUUUCGUACCCAUAAUUUCCAUACUUAGUAGACAUGUAGUUGAUCAUCAAUACCUGAUUGUAUCUGUAUGUGAAGUAUCUAUUUUACCUAUCUAUAAGUUGUAGUCUGUUUACAUAUACCUUAUCACAGGUAUUUCAUCUCCAUAUCAAUGAGUUGUAUAGAUUUAAACACCUGUAAACUUACACAUGCUUUACUUGUCAAUCUAAGGGCUCUUUACUACAUGUUCCAUUUGUUUAUAACUUUUUAAGUACGACUUUUCACAUCAUUAAGACAUAUUUAUUGUUCUCAGAGUAUAAUAGAAUUGGUUAAUACCAUUAAAUAUACAUUUGAAAAUAUGCAUUACAUUAUAAAUUGAAUUUGGAUCGGUCUUUUUCAAGUUUUGCAAUUUUUAAAAAAAAAUUUGUACAUUGCAUGGUUUUAAGAUUGGAUUAUACAUUUCAGCCCACCCCUCUUUGUGUACACAUAAUUGCAAAAGAUAUAUCAGAGUGAUUGGAAUUUUGUUUUUUUGUUAAUAUAUAUCAAGGUCUGAGAGUUGUCUCAUUGGCACUCAUACCACAUCUUCCUAUAUCUAUCCUCUUUAAUAAACCAUAGUAAAUCUGUAAUUAUACAUAUGAUCAAUCAUAAUGAAUUCUCAAUUAUUAUUUUUCAGAUCUUUAACAGGAAAAGAUUCUUUCAACGAAAAAGAAGUGACUCUGUGCAAUACUACUACAGAUGAACAUUUACUAAAAUUGGAUGUGCUGUGUUUGAACUAUUUAUUAUCUGGUCACAAAUGACAACAUACACCAAUGUUAGUGGAUACAACAAUAACUCAAAUGUAAUAAAUGGGGAAUUGAAACUGUUGAGCUGAGACAAAUGCACUUAGGGAGCUACCAUUUGAUUUUUAUGGGGGGCUAGGAUGAAAUUUGAAAAAAAUAGGCAGGACAGGAGUUUUGAGUAAAAAAAAGGCAGGAUGAGACACUUGCAAAAAAAAGUCAGGACGACAAUUUAAGGUAAAAAAAAGGUCAGGAUAAACUAAAAAAAAAAAUGCAGGACAGAACAGAGUGAAAAAUAAAAAGGCAGGACAGAGAUUACAGCUAAACAAAAAUGCAGGACAACAUUUUUCAUCCUAGCCCCCCCCCCCCCCCCCCCCCCAUAAAAAUCAAAUGGUAGCUCCCUUAUUUGGAGAUUAAAAUAAACAUGUGUCAGCCA